rnacentral:rRNA from 1 species
UACGGAGGGUGCAAACGUUGCUCGGAAUCAUUGGGCGUAAAGCGCACGUAGGCGGCCUGUUAAGUCGGGUGUGAAAGCCCUGGGCUCAACCCAGGAAGUGCACUCGAAACUGGCGGGCUUGAAUAUGGAAGAGGGUCGCGGAAUUCCCGGUGUAGAGGUGAAAUUCGUAGAUAUCUGGAGGAACACCGGUGGCGAAGGCGGCUACCUGGCCCAACAUUGACACUGAGACCCGAAAGCGUGGGGAGCAAACAGG